rnacentral:rRNA from 1 species
GUGUCAGCAGCCGCGGUAAUACGUAGGUGGCAAGCGUUGUCCGGAUUUAUUGGGCGUAAAGGGAGCGCAGGCGGUCUUUUAAGUCUGAAUGUGAAAGCCCUCAGCUUAACUGAGGAAGAGCAUCGGAAACUGAAAGACUUGAGUGCAGAAGAGGAGAGUGGAACUCCAUGUGUAGCGGUGAAAUGCGUAGAUAUAUGGAAGAACACCAGUGGCGAAGGCGGCUCUCUGGUCUGUUACUGACGCUGAGGCUCGAAAGCAUGGGUAGCGAACAGGAUUAGAUACCCUGGUAGUCCAUGCCGUAAACGAUGAGUGCUAAGUGUUGGGAGGUUUCCGCCUCUCAGUGCUGCAGCUAACGUAUUAAGCACUCCGCCUGGGGAGUACGACCGCAAGGUUGAAACUCAAAUAAAUUGACGG